AUUGAACGCUGGCGGCAGGCCUAACACAUGCAAGUCGAGCGAGCGGCGGACGGGUGAGUAAUGCCUGGGAAUUGUCCAGUCGAGAGCGAUAACAGUUGGAAACGACUGAUAAUACCGAAUACGAUUGGAUUGCUCAGGUGGGGUUAGCUAGUUGGUGAGGUAAUGGCUCACCAAGGCGACGGGCCCGAGCUGGUCUGAGAGGAUGAUCAGCCACACUGGAACUGAGACACGGCCCAGACUCCUACGGGAGGCAGCAGUGGGGAAUAUUGCACAAUGGGCGAAACCCUGACACAGCCAUGCCGCGUGUGUGAAGAAGGCCUUCGGGUUGUAAAGCACUGUCAGCGAGGAGGCGUUACUCGAAGAAGAAGCACCGGCUAACUCCGUGCCAGCAGCCGCGGUAAUUC
rnacentral:rRNA from 1 species